GUCAUCUUGGGUGACCUGAGGUAGCCACAUGAAAUGGCCAGAUUUGACAUCAUCCCUCUUCUGUGCCAGAAGGAACAAUUAGUCCUUCCAUAAAUAGAUCAAUAUUUGCUCAUGCUGUAGACUAUGGAAUCCAACCUGUAGUAUCCUUUCUGCAUGUUGGCACCAAGCCCACCUCAUGAAACCAGCAAUGGGCAUUUUUCUAAUUCUACUUUCAAAGGUCCCAUUAUGGGUAAUAGAAAAGAACAUGAAAAAGUCUAUACCUUUUUUUUUCUCCUGCCAUUUUCCAAAAGUUCAUCUUCAAAAG
rnacentral:lncRNA from 1 species